GAUGAACGCUGGCGGCGUGCUUAACACAUGCAAGUCGAACGAAGAUGCCGGAGUGCUUGCACUUUGGCAGACUGAGUGGCGGACGGGUGAGUAACGCGUGGGUAACCUGCCUUAUACAGGGGGGAUAACAGUUGGAAACGACUGCUAAUACCGCAUAAGCGCACGGUAUCGCAUGAUACAGUGUGAAAAACUCCGGUGGUAUAAGAUGGACCCGCGUCUGAUUAGCUUGUUGGUGAGGUAACGGCCCACCAAGGCGACGAUCAGUAGCCGGCCUGAGAGGGUGAACGGCCACAUUGGGACUGAGAUACGGCCCAGACUCCUACGGGAGGCAGCAGUGGGGAAUAUUGGCACAAUGGGGGAAACCCUGAUGCAGCGACGCCGCGUGGAGGAAGAAGGUCUUCGGAUUGUAAACUCCUGUUGUUGAGGAAGAUAAUGACGGUACUCAACAGGAAGUGACGGCUAACUACGUGCCAGCAGCCG
rnacentral:rRNA from 1 species